GCCAGGUGCGGUGGGCAUGCCUGUAAUCCCAGCAGCUCCGGAGGCUGAGGCAGGAGGAUGACGAAUGCAAAGCCAGCCUCAGCAACAGCAAGGUGCUAAGCAACUCAGUGAGACCCUGUCUCUA
rnacentral:sRNA from 1 species